rnacentral:rRNA from 1 species
UACGUAGGGUGCAAGCGUUGUCCGGAAUUAUUGGGCGUAAAGAGCUCGUAGGCGGUCUGUCGCGUCGGCUGUGAAAACUCGGGGCUCAACUCCGAGCUUGCAGUCGAUACGGGCAGGCUAGAGUUCGGCAGGGGGAGACUGGAAUUCCUGGUGUAGCGGUGAAAUGCGUAGAUAUCGGAAGGAACACCUGUGGCGAAAGCGGCUCACUGGACCAUUACUGACGCUGAGGCACGAAAGCUAGGGGAGCAAACAGG